CCUACGGGUGGCAGCAGUGGGGAAUCUUGCACAAUGGGGGAAACUCUGAUGCAGCGACGCCGCGUGAGUGAAGAAGGAUUUCGGUAUGUAAAGCUCUAUCAGCAGGGAAGAAAAUGACGGUACGUGACUAAGAAUCCCCGGCUAACUACGUGCCAGCAGCCGCGGUAAUACGAAGGGGGCAAGCGUUAUCCGGAUUUACUGGGGGUAAAGGGAGCGGAGGCGGCCAGACAAGUCUGAUGUGAAAGCCCAGGGCUCAACCCUGGGAUUGCUUUUGAAACUGCCGCGCUGGAGUGCAGGAGAGGUGAGCGGAAUUCCUAGUGUAGCGGUGGAAUGCGUAGAUAUUAGGAGGAACACCAGUGGCGAAGGCGGCUUACUGGACUGUAACUGACGUUGAGGCUCGAAAGCAUGGGGAGCAAACAGGAUUAGAUACCCCAGUAGUC
rnacentral:rRNA from 1 species